UACGUAGGGGCCGAGCGUUGUCCGGAGUUACUGGGCGUAAAGCGCGCGCAGGCGGCUCGUCAAGCCUGACGUGAAAGCCCCCGGCUCAACCGGGGAGGGUCGUCGGGGACUGACGGGCUUGAGGUCGGCAGGGGUUGGUGGAAUUCCCGGUGUAGUGGUGAAAUGCGUAGAGAUCGGGAGGAACACCCGUGGCGAAGGCGGCCAACUGGGCCGGACCUGACGCUGAGGCGCGAAGGCGUGGGGAGCGAGCGGG
rnacentral:rRNA from 1 species